CCUACGGGCGGCAGCAGUGAGGAAUAUUGGUCAAUGGCCGCAGGGCUGAACCAGCCAAGUCGCGUGAGGGAUGACGGUCCUAUGGAUUGUAAACCUCUUUUGUCAGGGAGCAAAGGGCGCCACGUGUGGCGCUUUGCGAGUACCUGAAGAAAAAGCAUCGGCUAACUCCGUGCCAGCAGCCGCGGUAAUACGGAGGAUGCGAGCGUUAUCCGGAUUUAUUGGGGUUAAAGGGUGCGCAGGCGGAAUGUCAAGUCAGCGGUAAAAUUUCGGGGCUCAACCCCGUCGUGCCGUUGAAACUGGCGUUCUUGAGUGGGCGAGAAGUAUGCGGAAUGCGUGGUGUAGCGGUGAAAUGCAUAGAUAUCACGCAGAACUCCGAUUGCGAAGGCAGCAUACCGGCGCUCAACUGACGCUCAUGCACGAAAGCGUGGGUAUCGAACAGGAUUAGAUACCCCUGUAGUC
rnacentral:rRNA from 1 species